ensembl:lncRNA
CCAUGGAUUUACUCUUCCAUCUCUCUCUCUCAUUCUCUUUAUUUAAAAAAAAUUGAUUAUUAUUUUUUGCUUUUGUUUCUUUCUUCUGAUUCAUGUAAGUAUGUGUGUGUCUCUUGACCACAGGUAAUGCCUGCUGCUUUGGAAAAAAGCAGAGGUCGCGAGGCUGGAAACCAAUAUGUCAAGUUGAGAAGCGAGGAAUUGCAGGAUAGAAACUCUCUUUGUAAAACCAGUACAGCUGAGGAGACAGAAGCAAGGAACUGUGGCUUCACAGAAUCAGUCAAAGCCAUACAAGCCAGAUUCCUUGAAACUUCAGUAAGUGCUUCCAUUCCUCGGCUUUUUAUGUCGUUUCUUUUCAUCUUCGCUCCUCUAAAGCAUCCUUACUUUGUCUGCUUUGGCUCUUCUCUCCCAUCAGAUGUUUACGACACUACCAAGCGCUGAGAUGAAAUCCAGUUCAAUUAAGCAGGUGUUCCCUGAACGGCAGCUCCUCGUCAAGCUCUUUUCUAGGCACUGGGAGCAUCAUGCAAAGAGGAUAAAGCAGAGCCAUUUGCUCUCCAAGAGCGGACAGCUUAGGUGUGGAGACCCCACACACACGGGAGCCAGGUAAACCGCUCACCUGGACUGCUGACCUAAGUGCUCGCCCAAGUGCUGCAGCCGGGAGUCAGGGGUUGAGAGCCAAGUGUCGGCCGAACAGUGAAGGAAGACACAGGGCUCCCAGGACCCCUCUCUGAAAGCAACGAGGCCCUGAGGAGUUGUCCUUGUCUGGUCAUCAUCCAAGAAAUUCAGAAUCUUUGGAUGAGGAGGACCACGUGCCCAGCGAGCUCCUCCCGGGGGCCAAUACCCACCUCUUCACCUCGAGGUUCUCAGCUUUAAGGUCACUUCCAGACAGGUCUUUCCAGGCCUCUCAGUUUAAAACUAGGUCCUGGAGUUCCUGCUGCGGCUCAGCGGUUAACGAAUCCGACUAGGAAUCAUGAGGUUGUAGGUUCGAUCCCCGGCCUUGCUCAGUGGGUUUAGGGUCUGGUGUUGCCGUGAGCUGUGGUGUAGGUCACAGACGCGGCUUGGAUCCUGCGUAGCUGUGGCCCUGGCGUAGGCUGGCAGCUGCAGCUCGGAUUCGACCCCUAGCCUGGGAACUUCCAUAUGCCGUGGGGACACCCCUAGAAAAGACAAAAAGACAAUAAAUUAAAUAAAUAAAUAAAUAAAACUAGGUCC